GGAUUUAGCUCAGCGGUAGAGCACUUGCCUAGCAAGCACAAGGCCCUGGGUUCGGUCCCCAGCUCCA
rnacentral:tRNA from 1 species